UACGUAGGGGGCUAGCGUUGUCCGGAAUCAUUGGGCGUAAAGCGCGUGUAGGCGGUCCGGUAAGUCCGCUGUGAAAGUCGGGGGCUCAACCCUCGAAUGCCGGUGGAUACUGUCGGGCUUGAGUACGGAAGAGGCGAGUGGAAUUCCUGGUGUAGCGGUGAAAUGCGCAGAUAUCAGGAGGAACACCAAUUGCGAAGGCAGCUCGCUGGGACGUUACUGACGCUGAGACGCGAAAGCGUGGGGAGCAAACAGGAUUAGAA
rnacentral:rRNA from 1 species